AGUUGAAAGCCACGCGGCAUCAACAAGUCAAAGAUCUGAGCGAUGCUUGCCGUAGACUUUGUGCAGACCAUACUGCUUCGCUGGUGUCAGUUCUGUUGGUUACCCGCCUACAGCUCACUCCUGAAGCCUUCCCGAGACAAAAAUGGCAUACGGCUUUCUCAGUAACAUUUUCCUUUUCUCUUCAGUAAUAAGACAUUUCCCUGGCAUUUUUUUCACUCUGAGAAUACCUGCAGAAGAGUUUUGUGCUACCCUUUAGGGACUUAGCUUAUAUUACCUCAUUUGGUGCCCUUGCUCUUGUGUCUCAAUCCUACAUGCAAGUGUCAUGGUUUUAUAUUCAUACUCAGUAAUCUGCUAGUUUAUUGAUAACUAUUGGUAACUCUUUAUAAGUAGCCUUUUCUUUAUAUCUGCCCAGAGCUGGAUCUCCCCAACCAAUUCUCCGAACAAUUUGCAAUAUUCCUUCUUAAGGUCCAUGCUCUUUAUUUUGCAGUUCUUCCUUCUCUUAUUAACAACAGUCAAGUCCAUCUCCAUGGCCACUUCUACCUCCAUUCUAGUUUCUCCCCUAACUUCUAACCUGAGAAUCAGCCUAUAACCUGCCAUUUAUAGAGGAUCACUAAGG